rnacentral:rRNA from 1 species
GACGAACGCUGGCGGCGUGCUUAACACAUGCAAGUCGAACGGAGUGGCGAACGGGUGAGUAACACGUGGGUGACCUGCCUUGCACUUCGGGAUAAGCUUGGGAAACUGGGUCUAAUACCGGAUAGUGCAAGAUGAGCUCGCGGCCUAUCAGCUUGUUGGUGGGGUAAUGGCCUACCAAGGCGUCGCCGGGUAGCCGGCCUGAGAGGGUGUACGGCCACAUUGGGACUUAGAUACGGCCCAGGCGCGUACGGGAGGCAACAGUGGGGAAGAUUGCACAAUGGGCAGAAGCCUGAUGCAGGGGCGCCGCGUGGGGAAUGAUGGCUUUCGGGUUGUAAACUCCUUUCGACGGAGGCGCGGUACCUGUAUAAGAAGCACCGGCUAACUACGUGCCAGCCGCCGCGGUAAUUC